GGGAAAGCAGUCAACCAACAAAACUGGUCCUGUGUCAGCUUAGGCCUCCAUCUAUCUGGGGCUGGAACAGCCUUGUGAAUGGUGCCAAGUGGGCCAAGAUGGACCCUCCUCAGACACAAGUGAACCAGCAAGAGAGGCAGUCAUGGCCUCAAGUCCUUCUUCGGCGAAGCGUUCAAAUGGUACAUCCAGCAUCCACAACAAGAACUUUAAAGAAACUGUAACAAAUGCCUUUACAAGGCCAAACAGAGCUUUUUAACAGAUCACCUAGAGAAUGAACGUGGGGAGCCAGGGGAGAAUAAGUCCAAAACCUAUGUGAUUCAGGAAAUAAGAACAGUCAAGAAAGGAUGAAGACAAUCUCCACUUGAUGGCUGCAAUUCAGUCCAGGAGGAACAAAUCCAAGUUCACGCAUAUUUUAUGGCAUCCGGGA